AACAACCUUGUUCCAUUGAAAAAAAAAAUUAAACCAAGAGCUUUUCCUUCCUUCUCCUCCUCCGCACUGCCCCUCUAAUCUAGAAACCCUAUUGAGAAAAUAAUCUGCGAUAAUGGCGCCUCAUUAGUUGAAAGAACCUAGAAGCGAGCAUCCAGAGUUCAGCAAGCUACACUCUCGCAGAUCCAAACUGGAAGAACCUUUUCCAGGCCUGUAAUUUUUUUGUUUCAAUCUCUGAUUUUGUGAUGUUUUGUUCAUUUCAUUUGAAUUAACUUCAUGUUGAUUUAGUUGCAAUUGUGUUGCAUUUUUUUCUUAUUUGUUCUGGAUUUCACGGAUUUUAGGGGUUUUUACUUGCACGGUUAUGUUUUGUGAGAUUAGGAUUUUUACGGAUCGUUCUUCGGGAGGAUUUGAGGGGAAUUAGGAUUUCAGAUUGGUUAAAAUUUUUGUGGGUGUAAAGGCAAUCUAGGUAAUAAUCGGAAUAUGAAGCAUUGCGACAUUUGGGUUAACAAUGGGAAGCAGUUCACAAGCUUCUGAUGACAUUUUCAGGAAUUGAAGAGUGAUUAAUUGCAGUGAUUAAUUACAGGAAUUGAAGAGUGAUACACGUAUCAUUCUGUACAAUAGAUGGUUUUGUGUUGAAAGUGGAAGUACUGAUAAUCCUUCAGUCGUGCUCAUUCAUGGUUUCCCAUCACAGGCUUACUCAUAUCGCAAAGUUAUUCCAAUACUUUCCAAGAACUAUCAUGUCAUUGCUUUUGAUUGGUUAGUCUACUAUUUCCAUAUUGCUAUCGGUUCUGCAAAUGCUGGAUUUUGCCGAGCUUGAGUCAAAUGGAAUUGUCUCGUUGAAUUGAAUGAAUUUAUGCUAGGAGGUGUAGCAAGAAAUAUUGCUGAGUGCCUGUUAAAGCUAGGAACAAAAUCAUUCAUGAUCAGUGCUCUGGGAUGUGACCUGCCAGAUUCAAGGAUCACAAGCAUUGCUCAUGGUUGUCCCGGCCUUGAAAUGAUUAGCAUAUCAUACCGAUGAAGAUGCAAGGUUUCAAUGAGGCUAUUUUUGUUUUUAGUGUGAUGCAAAGCAAGAACAAAAAUAAGGCUAUAUGGAGUUGUAUAUAUUUCUUGUAAUUGUACAACUUUUUGAUAUAUAUGUAAAAAUGUUGGAUUUAUGUUCACGAUAGACCAUGAACGUAUUUGUAGAAGAUUUUGGUGAAAUAUUAAUAGUUGGUGCUUU